rnacentral:sRNA from 1 species
CCUAAUGAGGUGGAAUUGGUGGAUUCUUUGGUUGCCAGAGGUUGCAUGCAGAGAAGCAAAAAGAAUUUCUUUCCUCUUGAAGAUUUCUUUUCUCUUUUAACUUGAUCAUCAUCAAAGCUCUUUGCCUCUCCUGCUGUGAUUUCUUGUUCCCAAAAAUUUUUAAAUUUUUUAUAUUGUUGUUCUCCCUCCCCUCUUUUUAUAUUGAAAUGGGCUCCCUUGGUUAUUCUGAUUUUAAUUGGAUUCCGUGUGAAUGUUGUGCCCCCAAGCUGAAGAAUGUUGACUUUUGGUGUGCAUUGAGGCCAAAUGCUCAGAAGUGUUGUGAGGCUUGUGUCUCUGCAGAGAAAUUCUGCAAAUUCAUGAGUAAUCCUCUUUAAUUCUUAUUUCCUUUUUCUUUUUCUUCAAAUUUGCUUUUGGAUAGAUAGUAGUGCUCUUAGCAAUGUUGAUAUACUGAUAAUGAUGCUAGGUGUGUGAUAUGCCUUUUCUGAGGUGCAUCAUGCGCGGGCGAGUGUUUAUCUUCACGGGGGUGGCAGCCAGGGAGGACAUGGCCAGCCACAAAAGUUGUCUUCAUUGUUUAGUUAAAUGAUUGGACACACCUCAUCUGGUGAUGCUGUCUGCUCAGAGCAGGGCAGGGGUGAAUGCCCUAUGGUUCCAGCACCAGACAGCAGCUGAGCCUGCAGGGGUGCAGGUUUUGGAGGCUGUGAUUGUGCCUGGUCCUUCCAGAGCAGAGGUGUUAGAGGAAGAGAAGAGUGUGGAGAAGAAUAUGAAGGUUUUGAA